UCGUGGAUUGAUUUGUCUGGUUAAUUCCGAUAACGAACGAGACCUUAAUCUGCUAAUUAGUUGGGCAAAGUCUAACUUUGUUCUUCCAACUUCUUAGAGAGACAGCUGGCGUUUAGCCAAAGGAAGUUUGAGGCAAUAACA
rnacentral:rRNA from 1 species